rnacentral:misc_RNA from 1 species
GAAAUGCGAUAAGUAAUGUGAAUUGCAGAAUUCAGUGAAUCAUCGAAUCUUUGAACGCACAUUGCGCCCGCCAGUAUUCUGGCGGGCAUGCCUGUUCGAGCGUCAUUUCAACCAUCAAGCCCCCCGGCUUGUGUUGGGGACCUGCGGCUGCCGCAUGCCCUGAAAAGCAGUGGCGGGCUCGCUGUCACACCGAGCGUAGUAGCAUACAUCUCGCUCUGGGCGUGCUGCGGGUUCCGGCCGUUAAACCACCUUCGUAACCCAAGGUUGACCUCGGAUCAGGUAGGAAGACCCGCUGAACUUAAGC